UUGAAAAGUUGAAAAUGUAUU
rnacentral:piRNA from 1 species